UUGUUACUCUCUCCGUCCAACAAAGGAUGUCUCAACUUUGACUAAAUUUGGAUGCAUCUAUACACUAAGUCAUGUCUAGAUACAUCCAAAUUUUGACAAACUCAAAACAUCUUUUGUUGGACGGAGUGAGUACUUG
rnacentral:pre_miRNA from 1 species